UUUAGGCACUGGAAGGGGCUCUGAGCUCUCCUUGGAGCCUUCCCUUCUCCAGGGGAACAUUCCCAGCUCUCCCAGCCUAGCCCUGACGGACAUUUGCCAACCAGCACUGAUUUCAUGGAAACUCUUCCCGAGUCUUUCGCACUUGGGAAAAGAAGGAGAGCCCAGAAUGAAUCUCCUCAACCACAUCCCAUCCCUCAGGAGCAGGAAGUGAUCUCCACCUUCUGUUUCCAAUCAAUCAGACGUUGGUCUGUGAGACACUUGGAAACUCCAAUCCAAAGGAUAAACCCCCGACUGGAAUUCCCAUAAAACCAACGUGAUUAAUCCAGGUUUUACAAGAGGAACAACUGUCCCAGCUGGAAGCAGGUGGGAUGGGCAUUCCCAGCUAUUGUCCCAGCCGGGUGACCGUGGUCGGGGAUCCGAUGGCCAUCCCAGGAGAGAUGGACACACCCGUGGUCACUCCUCCUGGCCGUGGUGACAAUCCCUGCCCAGCUGUGGACAGGAGGGACAAACAUGGGGACAGUCAUCUUUGGGAACGCCACGGCACAACAGCCUGGCAGGAGCCAGUGACACAGCCCAGAAUUCCCUCAGCUUCCCAGGCCAGCUCCUCAUGGAUCCCCCCCUCUGCCACACCGACAUUCCCAGGGGAACACACUCGGGAAUUCUGGGAACGGGGGGUACGGACAGCGAGGGAAGAGGAUGGAGGAGCAGAACUGUGGGAAGCCACAUGGGAAGAGAGAAGGGCGGGGGCCACUCAUAGUGACAGCCCUGUCACCGCUCGCUCUGGAGCGGCAAUAAACUCCUAAAUCCCAGUAAAUGGGAAAUGCAGGGAUUCACAGUGGAGGCAGUGGGGGCCAGCUGGGGAGAUCCAGGGCAUAGGGCAGGUGGUGGGAAUGGGGCAGCCAGAGGAGCAACCAGGAAUGCUGAGCCUCUGGAGCAGCCACCACUGGAGGAAGCCACCAGGCCAGGAGGAGCCUGUCCCCACUCCAGGGACACCUGCUCCAGCAUGAUAGACAUCCACAGACUGACUGCUCUGCUGUGUGAAGAUCCUGGUGCCGAGCUACUGAAAAGGGGAUGAAUUCCCAGCGAUUUGGGUCACCCCUGUGCUCCAUCCGAGGGCUUCAGUGAUCCGCUCCAUCCCAGUGGAUCACCCCGGGAAUAUUCAGUGUGUUCCUCCCCCGUGCAGGUGAGUCUGACGGAGCCUCAAACUGUCACUCAAAGCUCAGAUCAAAAGUUUUGGGAGAAUCCCGAGCAGCCAACUCUGACAAGAUACAAAUCCCAGGCGUGACCCACAAAGCCAGAAAAGGGAAAGACUUGGGGAGAAUUCCGGGUUUAAGCCUGGUCAGUGCCGAGUCGAUGGUGCUGCUGCCACAAGAUCCCUGUGGAAAGGAGGGAUCGCCCUGGGACUGAGGGUGGCUGCUCUGGGUGACACCAGGAUGUGGCACUGGACUCCAAGCUGCCCAAAUGGAAGGGUUUGGGUGUCUCUGGACACCGGGAGCAGUGUCCCCAAAACCUGGCAGGGACACAGCCCCGGGAAGGGCCGGCACAGCCAUGGUCCCUGUGGUGCCCAUUCCAAAAUCCACGUGAGCCCAACAGGGAUAACCUGCUCACAGCACCCUGCCUGCAGUGUCCAGCGCUGCCCUGGGACCCCCAGGAUUCCCGGGAUCCCCAGUCCUGCCACCAGUCCCAAAGCCACAUCUCCAUCAGCCCUUGGAGCCAGCGUUUGGCUCCUUCCCUGCCCCCUUGGAGCCCCCAAAUCCCUCCAGGCUGUCAGGACUCAGGUUGGAAUUUCACCCCCUUCAUCCAGCUCCCCAUGGAAAACAGGGAGGUUUGAGGAGCAGGCAGGGGGCUCCAGCCCCCACAGACCUGCAUGGACACACACUCGGACCCCGCAGGGGUGGGCAAAAAAGGCUCCAGGCUGGCCAGUUUUCCCGAGCUGCUCCCUCCGCAGCUAAAUCCCUUUGGCCACAGCCCAAAUCCCACCGGCUCCGGGCCUGGCGUAUCCCACAGCGGGCAGGACACGGUGCCCACGGAGGGUCUGGGGGUCCCAUGGAGCGGUGGGAAGGCUCUGCCCACCCCGGCUCCAUGCCGGAGUCGCUGCCGAGUUGGCACAGCCAGGCCCAAACGCGCUGGCAGUGCCCGGCGGGGUCUGAGACACAAUGUCACCGCGGCGGCGGCCACAGAGGGACACAGCGACAGGGAGAGAAAGUCCCGGGCAAGGCCUGGCCCGGGGGGCCGCUGGCACCGCACAGCCCAGGGGUAGCUGCAAUACGGAAAAACCUGGAAGCGCUUGCCAGGCCCGCGGAAGCUCGGGAUCGCUCCGUGCCGCCUGGAAAACCGGCCCGGAGGGAGGGGAGCCCGCGGCAGGCAGGAAAACACGCCGGGAUCUUUGUGCUGAGCAGCCCCGGCAAGGCUGCGCCGGAGCCCCGGGAAGGGGCUGAGCCGGAGCGGCCGCUCGGCCGCCGGGGUAAUUAAUCGCGGUAAUGAAUUGGGGUAAUCACCUACACGGGCAGGUAAGUCCGCCCAAAAGCGCCGGCCCCGGCGCAAGCCGGAGCAUCCACCUCCCCUCCCGGCAUUAUUGUCAGCGAGGGAGGUGCCACAUUCCAGGGAUACGGGAGCGCAGGGAGCACAAUCGAGAUUUCCCUACAAAACCCAGCUAUUUUCGCUGCGACAGCGUCGCGAUCUGUCGCGAUAGGACCCGGCAGAGCCAGGAGCUGUUGAGUCAGCUCCCCCCUCCCCACCCCCGCCCUUACCCGGCCGGACGCGUGCCUCCUGCCCUGGGCCAUGCUGCCGCGCUCCAGAGAUUCCCGAUUCGCAGCCAGCAGCUCUCCCAGCUCACGGCCGGCAGCAUCCAGCGGCGCUUCCCAGCGUCCCGGCCGAUCCCAGCAUCCCCGCGCCCCGCGCCCCCCCCCUCCCCCGAGGCUCUGCCGGGCGGUACGAGAGGGAGGGAAGCCCUUUUCUGGGCGAGGAUGCUCCGAGGGAGGGAUACAGAGAAUUCCAGCGCUGCCGAUGGAGCCACUCUGCGCCAGUGCCGCUCCAGACUUGUCACCGCGCCGGCGGCUCGCUGGGUCCUAACGCUCCCCGCAGGAGCCACCGGCACGGCCACCCCGCGACACUCCGGGCCUCCUCCCGCUCGCCCUGCGGUGGGCACCGGGCAGGGACACCCCAAAUUGUGCCCGCCGUGACGCCAGACAAGGCUUGUCCCGCUUGCUCUUCCCUUCAUGGAGAAAUUUUGAGGAAAAACAGCCCUGCCCUAGAGCAGGGUUUGUCCCAACUCUCCAGGUACAGCUGCUCCCUCGGGACCUCAUUCCAGGUGAGGCGGAUCCCGGCGCUAGGACCCGGCGCUGGAGCCUGCGCCCUGCACGGCUGCACCGCGGCACCGCAGCCCCCGCAGCCCCCUCCCAGCCCCGACCCCGCGGGAUCAUCCCGGCGCAUUCCCGGCUCCGGCGUGGGAUCGAUGCUCCGUAGCCACAGCAACGCCCGGACACGCCGAGGAUGCGGCGGGAGCUGCCCUGCAGAGCCACCCAGCUCCACGUUUGGGAAAAGCACGAAGGAAUCGCUCCAAGGUCACCUGGCCAGGUGACCAAACACCCAGCACAGAACCUGCCCUGGGAGAGCCACGCAUUCCCGGAAUUCCCGACGAGCUCGCAUGGACCCGGAAUUUUUAAAAACCCAACGUGGAAACCCAAAAAUGCUGCAUGAGAUCGGGGCCCAUCCGCAGUGCAACAGCCCAGGAACGGCGCUGGGAGGUCCCUCCUGACAGGAAUUCGGGAAUUCCGGAAUUCCCUGAGCAGCCUGGAGUGAGGGAUGGCACCAGCGGGAUACUGGGACACAGCUCCGGGUGACCCUGGGAGCAGCACACCUCACACAGAAUUCCCAGAGCACACAAUCCCCUGCUGGAAGGUGCCGCCGCGCUUUCCCUGGAUCCAGGACCGGGAAUAUUCCUCCAUGCCAUUCUUAAUGAGCUCCCCUCAAUUAUCCCGGCCAGUAAUUACCCCCGGGCUGAGUCAUUCCCACCUCGCUUCUGGAUCAAACCUUCCCAAUCCCGAGGGGGAAGCGCCGCCCUCAUCCCAUCACCGACCACCCCUCACACAGAACCCAAACACCCCUAAAUACCCCUGCAGACCCCCCCUAAAUCCCCCCAAACACCCCCACAGACGCCUCCACAGCCCCAUAAACUGCUCACAGAGCCCAAACACCCCCACAGACCCCCCCAUACACCCCUAAAUCACCCCAAACACCCCCAAAAUCACCUCCUUACCCACGCACAGACCCCCACAAACCCCUUUAGACCCCCACAAACCCCUCACGCAGACCCCCGAGCACCCCUAUACAACACAUACACCCCCGCAGACACCCCCAGACCCCCACAAAUAUUUCACGCAGACCCCAAACCCCUUCAGAUCGCUCACACAGCCCUCCAUAAACCCCGAAACCUUCUCGUACCCCCCCUAAAUCCCCAUAAACCCCUCACACAGAUCCCCACACACCCCUUCACACCACCCCAGACCCACAUACA